GUGCGCGUACGUCCCAGCCGAACGAGCUAGUGGUAUGAGCCGGCAGUUUCGGUGCGGCUGCGGCCAGAGCAACAGGUACUCGCAGCGACUGAGGAGCCAACAGGUAGACGAGCGCUGAGGUCAACGCAGAUUGUCGUGCUGUCAACAUCAACCCCGCUCUGACAAUGCUCAUCAUCUCAGGCUUAACGAUCUACAUGCUGUACACGAUGAUUAUGCAACAUAUAAACAGCGGAGCGAACAAAAUGUUGCUUAAUCAAACUCAUAGUGCCAACGACUCCCUGGUCCCCGGCAUCCCCGACAGCUGGCUCGAGGUGUGGGAUCCUGUGGUCGUCGCUGGCGAGGGGGACGACGUGGACAGACUGGCGUAUAGGGUUCGAGUGAGG